UAUNCNUCNNGGGNCGCNGNUNANNNGGCAANUCGAGCGAACAGACGAGGAGCUUGCUCCUUUGACGUUAGCGGCGGACGGGUGAGUAACACGUGGGUAACCUACCUAUAAGACUGGGAUAACUUCGGGAAACCGGAGCUAAUACCGGAUAAUAUUUCGAACCGCAUGGUUCGAUAGUGAAAGAUGGCUCUGCUAUCACUUAUAGAUGGACCUGCGCCGUAUUAGCUAGUUGGUAAGGUAACGGCUUACCAAGGCAACGAUACGUAGCCGACCUGAGAGGGUGAUCGGCCACACUGGAACUGAGACACGGUCCAGACUCCUACGGGAGGCAGCAGUAGGGAAUCUUCCGCAAUGGGCGAAAGCCUGACGGAGCAACGCCGCGUGAGUGAUGAAGGUCUUCGGAUCGUAAAACUCUGUUAUUAGGGAAGACAAACGUGUAAGUACUGUGCACGUCUUGCNGUCCUAUCAGAAGCCCGCUACUCGUGCNGCACCGCGUANCGAGUGGAGCNNUCCGAAUUUGCUAGGCNGNGGCGUUUAGUUUUAGCCCGNCGGAGCUGACGAAUGUNAAGAGGAUCUNUCUAUCAAUGACUNAGAUGUAUCUUACGGAAAACGCCA
rnacentral:rRNA from 1 species